UCUCAAGCACAUUUCAAUCUGCUUUGCCCUUCCCAUUUCACUGUGCUCCUUUUCAAAGUGGUGCUUGUGGAUAGAGAAGCCUUGAAAAGGAUGAACCCAGAGCAGCAAGUUCCCUGCAGAAAUCAGAGGCAAAGGCUAAAGAAAAGGCAUCUAAAGUGCUAUAGCAGAUGGGAACAAUAACAUUUUCAUUGGAACACAUUGCCAAUCUGGGUUUUAAUUCAGACGUUUCCAGCUGCUGAUCUGUGGUCCAGUGACUGAAAUAGCAACGAGCCAUGCAGUAUCAUUGAUAUAAAGCUCCCCAGCCUAAGUCCUGAAGCCUGCAAAGAUAUUGUACUGAAGGGAAGAGCUGCAAAAACCAGACGAGCAAAUUGCGCUUCAUCUCUUUGUGCUUAACCUGGUAUUUCUCUAGGAUUACUCUGCUCGAGGGAGGCUGGACCAGAUGACCCACUGUGGUCCCUUCCAACCUCAUCCAUUAUGUGAUUCUGUGAUUCUCAAGUGAGAGAUGUGGCUGAGAGCCUGAGGUGGUGAGCAGGCUUGGGCAGUUGUGCUGCUGGUAUAGGAGUCCAUCCCACUCCCAGAAGACAAGAGAUUGUUACUAAGCACUCUUCCCUGUUGGACUUUCGGGGG